GGGCCCAGAACUGGGGCAACUGGGAUCAUGCUGGAAGCUACUGGGAGCAAUUGGGAGUGAGUGGGACAACACUGGGGGCAACUGGGCUGUAGUGGGAGAGACCAGGAGUGACUGGGAGCAUACUGGGAAGUGACUGGGAGCAUGCUGAGGUCAACUGGGACAUACUGGGAGAAACCGGGAG